AGAGUUUGAUCCUGGCUCAGGACGAACGCUGGCGGCGCGCCUAACACAUGCAAGUCGAACGAGAGAGAGGGAGCUUGCUUCCUUGAUCGAGUGGCGAACGGGUGAGUAACGCGUGAGGAACCUGCCUCAAANAGGGGGACAACAGUUGGAAACGACUGCUAAUACCGCAUAAGCCCACGGCUCGGCAUCGAGCAGAGGGAAAAGGAGCAAUCCGCUUUGAGAUGGCCUCGCGUCCGAUUAGCUAGUUGGUGAGGUAACGGCCCACCAAGGCGACGAUCGGUAGCCGGACUGAGAGGUUGAACGGCCACCAUUGGGACUGAGACACGGCCCAGACUCCUACGGGAGGCAGCA
rnacentral:rRNA from 1 species